CACUGGAUUUUCCAAGAAGGAUCAGUUCAACUCUUUUCUCCUCCUGUGGAUCCUACCUGCAAGUCACCUGCCUGCCUGCUCCACCGUUCCCCUUCUCCACUCCACUCCAUCAGACCUCUGGCUUUCUGUGUCACCACCUUCCUCGCACUUCUCAGGAAUCGCUAUCAACCAUUCUCCUCACAGGACCCUGCACACCUUUCCCCCACGCUUCACCCACAACCAUUCUAAAUGUCCCGUUGUCCUCAACCCAUCUGUUCCUGCUUGGCCUCCCAGGCUUUCCAUCAGAAGUGUUUAGGCACAAGUGAAUGGCUGCCAGGGGAGAUUAAAGGAUUUCUCAAACAUGCAUCUCAGAAUCAAAGCAACACUCCAGGUAUGUUUUGGAUGAGGCAGUAACAUUAUGACAUGAUACAAAGCUCAAAAAGAGUCAAAUUU